rnacentral:lncRNA from 1 species
CAAAUACACCUCCAAAUCACUAACAAAUACCGCAACAUAUUGUCCAAACAGAAGGAUACAGAUAACUUCAAACUUGAAAAUGCUUUCCAAAGAUCAGACCAUGUCAUCUAGCUGCUUUCAAUCUUCUUGACUGAAAACAUCCUCCGACGCACAUCUUUUUUCUUUUCGCCCUUGCACCAGAACCCCACAGACUUAACAUCACAAGGAAAUGAGACCAGUAGGUUGCAUUGGCUGACCUCCAGGUGUCUGAUCUCAGGCAUCACUGCUUGCAAUUCUUCCCAUGACACCUCAAGCCUUUGGCAGAACUUUAAACACAACCCUUUGACAUCCCAUUUAUGUUCUUCAUCUCCCCAAAAAUCUUGGUUCAUCUUAUUUAUUCUAGAGUCCUCCAUACAAAGAUACUGCAGUUGUCGAAGUGACUUCGGAUUAAUCCAUCCUGGUGUAGUUUCUCCAACAUAAUGCUUCAGAUACAAUUCCUCAAUGGAAGAAGGGGGUGACAAUUUAUUCAAUUUGCUUAAAAUGUCCUCGUCUUCGCAAUCACCUGCAUUGAUCGACAAAAUCUUUAGUUUCUCUAGCUGUGCUAAGAUCUCCAAUUCCUGAUCAUUGAUUGUGCUUUCUUCAGUUAUGUCCAUCUGCAGGACUCGAAGUUCAGUCAAAGCCUUCAGCUCUCCAAGGUGGGAACCUGCAGCAUUGCCAGUGCCAGCUAUCUUAAAUCCGUAUAGCUCCUGGAGUUUGGAAAGUCUCGAAAAUCCUUGUGGUAGACACUGAAGAUUUGGGCAGUUGCCAACAUCCAAGAUAAUUAAUCUUGGAAGGUUAACAAUUGAUGGGGAAGAUUUUUGAGAUCCUUACAUUCUCCCAGAAUCAGAACUUGAAGGCCCCAUAGUUUACCGACUGAGUUUGGGAUUUCUGACAAUUGUGCAACAUACCUGAGGCUCAAAUAAGCUAGGCGUGUAAGGAAGUGAUCCAAUGCCAGAGAUCUUUCAUACAAAUGCUGUCUAGUUUGACAUGUGAGAAGUCCAGUACCCGGAGAGACUUGACGUUAGCCAAUUCAAUAUUACUAUUGAAACCGAUGUAAUCGGUUGCGGUUAAAAGUAAUGCCCUGAGCUUUGAGUUUCCUCGGAGGGUCUGGAACUUUGUCUCUUUUGUGACUCCAAGUCUACGAGAGCCAGCAUUAGCAAUAUGCUUUCCAUUUCCAUCGAAACUGCAGAAAUCUUCUUCUCUUGCUAUUUUAAUUGUCAAAUCUCGAACCAUGUCAUGCACCUUGCAGGUAUAGACACUCCCAUCGAAAUUUCUUCUCUCAGCUACUUCAACCAGGCAUCGACUGAUAAGCUCAGAUAAGCAGUUGAGAGCUGAUUCUGUCGCAGCUUCUGUGCUCCUACAACGGACAAAUCCUUCUCCUUCCCACCAGCGAAUCAGUUGGUCAACAUCAACUUCAUGAUCUUCUGGAUAAAUCGAGAAGCACAAUAUGCAUUGCUUUAAGCGAGGAGGGAGCUCAUCAUAGCUAAGCUGCAGAGAGGCAAUCACAUGCUGAUUACCACCAGCACGACUGCCUUCUGCACUUGUCAACUUUUCAUGGAAGUUCUUGUGAAUCCUCGUCCAUUCACUAUAACACUUGGCUUCUGAUGAGAGUAAACCACCAAUGGUCUUGAUUGCCAGGGGAAGGCCCCACACUUUUGAACAAUCUCUUUUCCUUCUUCAAUUAACUUAGUAUUUUCUUCAUCUUCUUUAGAGAUCAGUGCAACCUUGCAGAAUAAUUUCCAGCUCUCUUCAUCAUUAAGAAGUCUGGGUCGAUGAAUUUGGGCAUCCCGAACUCCCAUUUUCUUGACAACUUUCUUGAUCCUUGAUGUGAUUAUAAUGCAGUUGUUGAGGCCCUCUGUCUUGGGUAGCCCACUGGAGAUCGUUCCACCAACCAUCUUCAAUGCUCAGACAUCAUCUAGAACAAUCAGGUAGGUUUUUUUCUGAAAGCAAUUGACUGAUUCUACUCAGCAUGUCACCUUUAGAGAUCCGCUGUCAUCAGAUUUGAGUUGCCUCAGCAUGCUUUUCAUGAUUUCGGUCUCAUUGACUGGUUGAGAAACUGAGACCCAAAUUUUCUCUUGGAAGCGUUUCGUGAGAUUCACAUCUCUAUAGAUCAUCUUUGCUAGGGUCGUUUUACCCAAACCCCCAGCCCCACGAUUGCAAGGCGAAGCAAUGGUUCAUUAUGACCAAGAAUCCAGUCCCUUAUUGUUGCCACAUUUUCUGUUAGCCCAACGACUUCAGAUUGGUCAAAAACAGGGGAACUCCAAAGUGUCUUUCUGCCAUUUUUGCUCUCACUAUCUGAAUGCUUUGCAAUGGGAGUGUAAUAAGAGUUCAAAUUUUCCCGCAUUCUUUUAAUGUGGCUGUUGAUUUCUGUUAGCUUUUUCCCUGUUUUAUAGCGAAAGGCCAUCUCAGAAAGACAAAGGCUGAAAGAACUAGCCUUUGUUUCCGUGUAGUCUUCUCGAAUCUGGCAAUCAACAACCAGAUCAUCUGCUUCGUAGAUCAGUUUCUGAAGUUCUUGCAAGGUCAUCUUGACUGUUUCUUGCUUGUCUUUGAGCUUGCUUGCAUCAGCGACAAAUGAUUGCAUAAAUUUCAGCUGUUCUCUCAACUCAGAGAACUGAGCUGGAAAUUGAAUUGCAUAUUUGCUUUGAUCCUGGAUUUCUGUACUCAAAUCUUUCACAAGUUCUUGAGCAAUGGCACCAGCUAGUGCACUUGGCAACGUCAUGUCUGAGGAAUUCAUGAAGGCAAAUACUUGGAAAUAAGUUGAAUUAAAUUUACAAAAGGAUGCAGAAAAGUAGACAAGCAUUUACUAUGAUUUCUUAUAAUCUUGAACAAUAUCCAAGCCAACCUCAAUAAGUAGGCCUUAAUAAGGCCUUAUCUAUCCUUUGUUUGGUACUUUGCUGAGUUGUUUGUUUAGGGGAUAUUUAUUUUCAUCAGUACACUAAGUCAUGCAUGUUGGGAUUCGAAGUGUACAGAUUCUAUGCAUGCUAAAGAACGUAUUAUAAGCUUAUCUUGCUGAUUUGUCAAACACAAUUCAUUCAGAGCAUGUAGUAAAACAGAUCAAGGUUGAACUGAUGUGGUGAGAGUUAUCAACUUGAAGUCUUGGUGAAAGUUGUGAUGUAUUUGUCUAACAAUGGUUUCUAAAGUUAUGAAAAGCACUACCCUAAGCAUCUCCUGAUAUUUACUACUCGUGGCCUGGGUAUAGUCAUGAAGCCUCAAAGGUUAAAACUUUGGAUUUUCUGAUUUUUGGCUAUCUGGUUACUCAACUAGUUUUCCUUGGUUUUAUUCCCAAGGACAAAAAAAUCUUGCUGUUACAGGGAAGCUUGAAAAAUCUUGUUUACUUCAACAAACAUAUUCAAUAUUUGGACAUGGAAUCUGGAUGUUACCAGCUCUCUUCCGUUCAAAUAUUAUAAGUGUAUACAGGUCAAAAAUGAACACAAAACAGUGAGACACUAGAAAACUUGAGCAGAAGGACCAUUUAGUAAGACUGUUGGGUAAAUAAAAAGUUAUGAACACCAUCACAAAAAGGUGGCUCCAAUACACUUCCCCAUUACCCUAGAAUAUACAGUAUGUGUUCAUCUUUAGAUAUUCAUGUAUAGUUUCUGUCUGGUCUAGAAAUUUCAUAGAGGACAGUCUCGGCCAUCCCUUGCUUAACAAAAAUAAUUAAAUCUCAGAAAAUAAACCCAAUUGACUACUUUAGUUCAUGUUCUGUACCAUUGACUUCAUUUUAUGCUUCCGAAAUCAAAUUACAAUGUUGAGAAAUUAUACUAAAGAUGUUACCUGACUUUCAGUUGUUUUCCCACAGAAGAAAGGUAUAUAUCAGUUGACAGCAAUUCUGGCCUCAGAAGUGGAGACAGUUGGACAAUGUAUAUCUGUGGACACGCCGGAAGUUCAGUAAACGAAAUCUUCGCUUACGAUCAUGCUGGAAAGCUGCUACGCCCCUUUUUCCAUCAAAGAAGGUAGAUCAUCCGCAAAACACUAGAAGCAUAUUCCAGUCCAGGACCUGACAGUGAGAUGUAGAAAGGUAUCAUGUAGAAAGAACAAACAUCUGAUGAAAUAAUCACAAGGAGAAAGAACUGCAAGCAUAGCGCAAACUCACUUCAGAAAACACCAGUUGCUCUUGUGAGUAGUUCUUCAGUUGGUUAUCCAAAGGAUCACAAGUGCAGUGCUAUGCGAUGAUUGAAGAUGUUUAUUGGAUCAUUAGCUUUGAAAUCAAGCUAUCUGAGUGAUCUGGGCUCUUGUGUCAACAAAGCCUACAUACAGAGGGCACUGAGACUAAACCUGUAUGGAAUUAGUCUAAAAACGUUACCUGACUCUGUUUUUCCCACAGAAGUAAGAAUAUUUUGCCUAAUAAGAGUAAGCAGGGACGCUUGGACAACGAUGUCUUGGUGGAUACCGAAAUUCAGUAAGUGAAAUCGUCACUUAUGAUCAUGCUGGAAAGCUGCUAUACCCUUCCCUUCCCUCAAAGAAGGUACAUCAUAUGCAAAACAGUAGCAACAUAUUCCAGUCCAGGACCUGACACUAAGUUACAGAAAGGGAUCAUGUAGAAAGAACAAACAUCUGAUGAAAUAAGCACGAGGAGCAAGAACUGCAAGCGUAGCACAAAUUCUACCUCAGAAAAGAUCAGUAGCUCCUCCGAGUAGUUCCUCAGGUGUUUAUCCGAAGGACCACGAUGCAGUGCUGUGCAAUGAUUGAAGAUGUUUAUGGGAUCAUUAGCUUUGAAUUUAAGCUAUCUGAGUGACAUGAGCUGUUUUGCCAACUGAGCCGGUACUGAGGGCUUUGAAACUAAACCUGGAUGAAGGUUGUUGUAACCUUUAUAAUGCUGAAGUCUUAGUGGGAAGAUUCUGUUGGCAAUGUGGUAAAUUAACAGACAUUGAUAUGUUGUUUGAGCAGCCAUUAAUUUUUUAAUCAGUGACAUGAUACUUCACGUGGAAGGAGUCAAGCGGAUCAAUCCCUUGCUCCAAAUUUCUUUUCUCUGCGAGAUGCUUUUCUUCCAUCAAGAAUAAAGCAUGUCUUCCACUAUCACUAGUCCCUUGCUUUCCAUGGUGCAGGUCUCUCCAGGAAUUUUCGCGAGAGGAACAAGAAAAUGACAAGUGCUGCGUAGUCUUCAAUUAUUACGUGCAAAAGCAAAGCUGUACUUUUACAAUUAUGAAAUGAGAACUUUUGGACUAUUAAGGCACUGUAAUAUAUGGUCGACUGUAUUCUGCUCCAGGUGUGCUACAUGAUAACGAAACAACUUAGCACUUCAGAUAGGACAAGUGAGAGUUUAUAAUCAUCUUUGCUAAGUUAUCAGCAUAAAACCAACUUAUGAUAUUCUUAACUUAUCUCUCCAAAUCCAAGCAAUUGCUUCCUUAUAUUUGGUCAAAAAAAAACUCCUAGAUUCUAGUCUUGUUCAGAAAGCUUAAUACUCAAAAAUGGGAACACCUGUCUUCUACUACAUAGCAUUCCGGAUUAGGCUAAUGCUUCGUAAAAUCAUCAUUUCAAGAUUCCGCAUUGGUCAAUUCUAGCUUUUCACGAACCUGUUUGGGUGCUUGCUAAAAAUCUAGGACCAAAAUGGGAACUGCAAUAAGACUUCAAAGCAUCUUUUUCCCACUUUUCACGUAGACCUUCUUCAUCUGUUAAUACCGUAGGGAUUUGCUAAAUAUCUAAUCUAGCAAAAGUUAAGCAGGUAAUCUGUGAGAGGAAACAGCAAUUGACACAGAAAAGAAUGCAAAAUACACAAACUUCUGAGUCCUGGUUCAAGCCAAAAAAAGAAAGAAAGAAGAAAGAAAAGGCUUGCUACAGAAAAAAGAAAAGUAAUAGCACUAAUGUUAAAUAAGUACUAAAUCAAUCUGAGAAAGCAAAAGUUGCAACUUUUGAAUGCUAUGAUCCUGGAAAAUUUCCCAAAAGCUAUCUUGAUGUAUCAGAAAUCUUCUCCAUACCAAGAGCUCUAGAGAUUCCGUGGAUCACAACUUCUCUGGAUGAGAAAAUCUCUGCUUCUGUGAUCUCUACCCCAUCAAUUGCCAGUGAUCUUGCAGAAUUGUUCAUAGUAACUUCAAGACUUUCAUCAGAUAACAGAGUUUUGAGAGUCGAUUUUUCAGGCAAUAAGGCCUAUUCUUUUUACGUAAACCUCUGCGGCAAUACAUGUAAGCUCACAACUCUAUCUAGCAGUAGUGCUGAGAGUGCUAUGAACGUGAAAUAUGGUGGAGCUAAGAUGGUGACGGAGCUCAAAUCAGCAUACUCUUGAACAACCCAUCAACAACAGACCGCAAUCCUUUCGCAAAUUGGACAAAUCCGUUAGCACUGAGAAACUGAAUUAUACUUGGCCAUCGAACAAAGUCCUUUAUCUCAUUAGUACCGUUCAAACGAUGACUCUGAUCAAAAUUUCCACAAGUGGGGGAGUGAAUAAAGUUCCAAUCUUGAUCAAUAUGCUCACGAAGGUCUAAUGAUGAGAAUGAUCCGAGAACACAUGCACUGAAAAGGGGCCUCCAAGAAACACAUCAGGAUGAGAAAUCAUCACAUCAUUGACCUCAAUUUCAUGCUUUUCUUCAUCCUUCUUUGUAAUCUUGAUGAUCUUAUCGUGAAGUAGAGUACUGAAGCAACUGUCUUCGGGUUUCUUGAAUAAUUCUUGUAUGGGAAGCUUUACAGGGGAAGAGUGGCACUGGAGGAGUUGCUUCAUUGCCCAAGGAGGUAGAUGGCCUGAAAUAUUGGAAAUGGAGGAAUCUUGGAUUGCAAAAAUGGUGAAUUCAGGGAAAACAAAGAGCUCAGUGGAGAUUUGGAGAAGGGUGGCCAUGACAUUGAAACAAUGAGCUCUUGAAGCUUUGGAAGCAUUCAAUGAGAGGCCUCUUUUGGAGGCUUGGAUCAACGGAGAUGAAUUGUGUUGGUGUCUUCAUGCAGGUUUACCAUGAUUGCCACAAUUGCAAGAACCACAGACAUGCACAAGGGGAAGGGACAAUGCCACCAAUGUUAGCAAGAAGAAUUUCUCAUUUCCUGAGACAAAUGAAGAGAAUACUAGUGGAAAAUUCUUGCUUUUCAAUGUGCUUUUAUCUGGGAUUUUAGCAGCAGAAUGAAUGUAGCAAUUUUCAGAAGAAUCUUGCAGUUCACUGUUGGUUGUGUGUGUCCUGCUGUAUUGUUAAUUGUCCCCGGCGGGGAAGGAGUAGAAAUUAAUCACAAUUACAGGGUUAAAUAAAUCAAGAUGCCACCCUUCAUGGCCUUUUAAAUUGUAUUUGGCUUUCAAAUUGAAAUGCCCGUGAAUACUCGAGUGAUUAGUUUUUAAUCCGUAACUAGAUUUUAACUGAUGAGAUGUUUGUCUCUCUCUUUUUUUUUCCUUCCCUAAGAUCCAGAGUUUAACUGAUGAGAUAUUAGUCAGGUGACAAUGAUGUUCACUCUUGAACUCUCCAUUUCCCCUCCUCUAUGUAAGACUUGGAGCCUUCUCAUAGACCAAAAUAUAUUUCUGUUCCUUUCCAAAACGUGAAAUUCUAAAACCAAUGAAAUGGGCCAUCAUUUAGUUUAUUUCUGUCGCUGCUGAAGUUGGAUUGUCACUUAUUAUAGUAAUGAUUAAAACCACAUCAUCAUGGAAAGGAAAAAUCAUAAUUUGAAAGCACCAACUCCAACUUAGGCUUACAUGAUCAACAUGGAAGAGAAAAAAGUAACAAUUAGUAAAUCAGUAAAGUUCAGCAAAUACAAAUACACUUCAAAUCACUAACAAAUGCCACAACAUAUUGUCCAAGAACUGGGAUACAGAUCACUUCAAACUUUGAAAAUGCUUUCCCAAGAUCGGACCAUGUCAUCUAGCUGCUUUCAAUCUUCUUGACUGAAAAGUGAAAACAUCUUCCGAAGCAAAACUUUUUUUCUUUUAGUCCCUGCAUAGCUCCCACAGACUUAACAAGGAAAUGAAACCAGCAAGUUGCAUUGGCAGACCUCCAGGUGUCUGAUCUCAGGCAUUACUGAUUGCAAUUCUUCCCAUGACACCUCAAGUCUUUGGCAGAACUUUAAACACAACCCUUUGACAUCCCAUUUAUAUUCUUCAUCUCCCCAAAAUUCUUGGUUCAUCUUUUCUAUUCCUGAGUUCUCCACAGAAAGAUACUGCAGUUGUUGAAGUGACCUGGGAUUAAUCCAUGCUGGCGUAGUUUCUCCAAGAUAAUGCUUCAGAUACAGUUCCUCAAUGGAAGAAGGGG